UCAGAGCCCUGGAGAGAGAUGCACUCCUCAACAUUGCCUGUUGCUGAAGAUUCAGAACUAGCAGCAAAACCAAAACAAAAAGAUCAAGCUGGGGUGACAUUGUAACGAGAACUUCUCAGCUGGAGUUAAUUGAUUUGAACAAUUCAAGUCCACCAGGCAAAUCAGCCCAGGACAGCUUACCACGCUGGCCGAGUUAAUUUUUUUUUUUCACAUAGUUUUUGAACAGCUGCGAUGUUAAGAGGAGACCAAAGGCUGUGAGGACACAGCACUCCUCCCGGCUGAGGAAGCAGAAACCGGGUGCCAUCUUGUAGGCAGAGAAC